UUCUUUUUUCCUCUUUUAGAUGCUCGUAGGAUUUCAUUCUUUAAUUUAUGACUUCCCAUAUUAGGAAAAAGAAUAUGUGAAUUUUCCCAAAUCUAUCUCUUCGUUCUAGCAAAUUACAUCUUUGUAUCUUGAAAUGAGUUGAAGAGUUGUUCUGUUUUAUAUGCUUCAUUUCUCAGUUUGUAAACAGAGUAAAAUUGAUAGCCAUUCUGCAGGAACCAGCAUGUAUUCGGUUAUAUCUACAGAACUUUUUAUUUUGACUACAAUGUCUACAAAUAUUGAUAGACAGUUUAGUAUCUGAGUUAACGGAGUAAUUUUUGUAUUUCAUCCUGAUUUUGUCAAGUAGCUUAGUUUUCAUUAAAAAGACUGCUUGAUAAUUGAAUCAAUUGUUAAUUUCUAAUUGAAUGGAAAAUGUUUCUCAACCAAAGCAACUGAGGUCUCACUAGUAAUCAACUGAUUUACAUUGGGAAUUCAAUAACAAACAACAUUAUGGCAUUGAAUUGAUACUAGUUAAACAUCUGUGGCUUUGGUGAUUGAAUUCCCAAUGUAUAUGUUUAAAUAAAUUAUGAUAUCAAGCAUUUUGUCAUUGCUUGAUAUUUAUGUAAUAGUUUAGUUUUCAUUAAGUUGUCUUGUUCCUUACCUAAUUAAAUCUUUUGAAAUAGAUUAGGUUCCAAUUUUCCCCCCUUUUAUUCAUAGUUAGCAAAUUACUACUUUCCUCAACUAGUCCCAUUUUAAUUUAUUUCCCAAACUUAGGUCUGAUUGAUUCUUUUGAAUGAAAGACCAUAACUUGGAGUCACAAUUAAAUUCAUGGUGAAUGACUCGUGGACUUCUCAACCAGCAAGACUCCUUGAACAAGGAUUACUUGGUGAGUUCUAUUACUUCAUAAACAAUUUUCCGGAAUUGGCUUCAAGGUGAAGGUGAGGCCCCGUCUCAAUCAAGCUAAAUGAGAAAGAUCAAUGCUUUUAAAUGUGCACUUCCUCUCUGUAUGCUUCUCUUGAAUGGGUAGAGGUCCACUUAUUUUAAUAAAUUUUUUAUUAAGCCAAAAUAUAUAUAUAUAUAUAUAUAUAUAUAUAUAUAUAUAUAUAUGAUUGCUAAAUAACUAUAGCUAUCAAACAAAAGACAACAAAUGAGUACUCUUCCAACUGUUUGGGUCUGCAAGUAAAAUUAUGAAUAGAUUAUUGUUACUAAUAGGAACUCCUCUCUUCAUAUUGCUCAUAUUAAUGUUUCAAUUAUAUUCACUUUCUUGGUAGUGGUACUUGUAUCGGUGAGUAUUGGAAUUGGGCACAUGUUCCAGAAGUUUCAUUCUAUGAAUCAAGUUAGAUAUAUGAACACUUUUCUGGACAGAAAUCUGCAUUCAAGGAGAAGAAAUUAUGAAAUGUUCCUAGUAUGCCAAAUAAAAUUGCUGCACAAAUGACUGCAAAGGUUUUCCACAACAAUUUUCUCUGGUAGCAGCUUUUCAGAACCCAUGGAAAAAUGGGCUUUUGAAUUCUUAUUGUCUCAACUGAUUAACAAGUGGAUUAGAGAGUUUUUUUUUCCUGCCAAGGAGUUAUCCAUUGAUCAGACUAUCUGUGGUUAGUUUGCAGUUCCUGGAGAUUUUAUUGGUCAUCCUUGGUGAUUAGAUGACAAGAGCAACAAAUGUCAUCUCAUAGCAUUGUGAAGUCCAUCACCUUGGAGGACUUGUGCUUUUGUGCAGUAGAAUGGAAAAUAAGGAAAAAUGUUUAGGUAUCAUGUUGGGGCAGAUAUAAAUUUGAUUUUAAACCAAGAAGAGAAUGAGAAUUAGCAGAUGAAGGAAGCAAUUGAAGGAGUUCUUGUUUGUUCCAUGUAGUCGAAGAUCUAACAACCAUCAAGAAGAGCUGCUCUAUCCCCAACUGGGAGGGGUAUUCUUAAGUUAGGAUUUCAACCACCAAUUUCAAGUGUGAAAGUCAAAUUUGAGCCGUAUCUGACUUGGACUCCUUUUGUUGACUUUGGCUUGGACUCUAUUCCUUUUUGGUUUUGUACUGUACUUGGUUUAGGACUUGAAUCAUUUUCCUACUGCACCUUGACUUGGGGUACUAUAUAUAUGUGGGCUCUUUAUGUAAAUAUCUUCAGCCUUGGCUCUUGUAAACUGAGAGAGUGAAGAGUUCUUUGAAUGUAUUUGGAGUUAGGGUUCUAUGAGAGUGUCUUUAUAUCACAUUUGUAAUCUCCUUAUUUUCUUAGUGAAACUUUCUUGACACCGCCUGUGGAUGUAGGCCUAAGGCUGAACCACAUAAA